GCGGUUGUAGUAUAGUGGUAGUACGUCAGCCUGUGGCGCUGAAAGGGAGAGUUCGAUCCUCUCCUUCCGCC
rnacentral:tRNA from 1 species